rnacentral:rRNA from 1 species
GAUGAACGCUAGCUACAGGCUUAACACAUGCAAGUCGAGGGGCAACAUGGAGACAGCUUGCUGUCUCUGAUGGCGACCGGCGCACGGGUGAGUAACGCGUAUCCAACCUUCCCUAUAGUAGAGAAUAGCCCGGCGAAAGUCGGAUUAAUGCUCUAUGUUGUAUUUAGAAGACAUCUGAAGAAUACCAAAGGUUUACCGCUAUAGGAUGGGGAUGCGUCUGAUUAGGUUGUUGGCGGGGUAACGGCCCACCAAGCCUACGAUCAGUAGGGGUUCUGAGAGGAAGGUCCCCCACAUUGGAACUGAGACACGGUCCAAACUCC